UACUCCUACGGGAGGCAGCAGUGGGGAAUAUUGGACAAUGGGCGCAAGCCUGAUCCAGCCAUACCGCGUGGGUGAAGAAGGCCUUCGGGUUGUAAAGCCCUUUUGUUGGGAAAGAAAUCCAGCUGGUUAAUACCCGGUUGGGAUGACGGUACCCAAAGAAUAAGCACCGGCUAACUUCGUGCCAGCAGCCGCGGUAAUACGAAGGGUGCAAGCGUUACUCGGAAUUACUGGGCGUAAAGCGUGCGUAGGUGGUCGUUUAAGUCCGUUGUGAAAGCCCUGGGCUCAACCUGGGAACUGCAGUGGAUACUGGACGACUAGAGUGUGGUAGAGGGUAGCGGAAUUCCUGGUGUAGCAGUGAAAUGCGUAGAGAUCAGGAGGAACAUCCAUGGCGAAGGCAGCUACCUGGACCAACACUGACACUGAGGCACGAAAGCGUGGGGAGCAAACAGGAUUAGAUACCCUGGUAGUCCACGCCCUAAACGAUGCGAACUGGAUGUUGGGUGCAAUUUGGCACGCAGUAUCGAAGCUAACGCGUUAAGUUCGCCGCCUGGGGAGUACGGUCGCAAGACUGAAACUCAAAGGAAUUGACGG
rnacentral:rRNA from 1 species